AGGACCAAGUGCUGGGUUGGGAGUUAUUUUCCAUUUCCAGAGCGAGAACCCAGUAGCGCUCACCACAUCGGAACAGCCCAACACGUGAGGUUGUUCCCCUCGCUGCGUGGUGCUGGGUGUGGCCGGAGCAGUGACUGUGAUAGUGGGGGUCACGUGGGCCCCUCAUAUGCGGCUGCUGCCGCCUCUGCCAAUGGUGCCAGAUACCCACAGGGCUCUGGGCCCUGACACCACUGGUUCUGGUCGCGGGACCUCCUGAAGGUUGGAAGCUGGCUGACGGAGCUGGGAUAGAAGGCAGUAGAUAACCGAAGUAGGGCGUUUCCUUCACGUGUCUGGCUGGACCCAGAUGGCUGCCUGGCAUGGGGCGGAUACCAGAGCAGCGAGUGGACUGAGUUAGUGAUCACACAGCCUUA